UCUUUUUUUUCUUCUCCCCAGCCGAACGUCGUUUCCCCCGAGCCUUCUUCUCCUCCGAUCCUUGCCCUAACCGCUCCUCGUUGGUUUCUCUUCUUCCCGAGCAUACAAGAAACUUGCCCGAUCCUUCCUCUUCAUCUUCUCUCCCGAUCUCUGCCCUAGCUGUCUCCACCCGAAGUAUACCUCGGUGCCAACCGAUCGUGACCAUUUUCCGUCUGCCUUAGCGUCGGCAGACGGCCGCCCCCUGAUAGCGCCGAUCACCCUCUCCCAUCGCAUCGCCUCACCGACGCCACAUGGAGCAGCGCCGACCAUCGCGGGAUAGAUCGAGCCUUGCAUCUCUGUGCCCUAGUUCCUCUCGCGUCGCCACCGACGACCACCAUCCGAUCGCUCAACUCUCACCUUUCUCUCUUUGCGUCGCCUCCGCCCGAUCUCCUGCGGGCUGACGGCCAGCAGAGCACCGCCUCACUGAGCAUACCCGUUGUCUCCCCGUGCAAGCCAGUGCCACCCGAUCGCCGGAGUGGAGCGUGUUUAGGACCCCGAGGCCGAUGCCCUAGUGCCAUCGUCGGAGGUGUGUCUCAUGCCUAUGCUCAGUGUUGGGAGGAUUUGUCGAUCACGAGCCACAAGAACCCUAUCAGCGUGGAUUGCGCUGCCGAGAGUUGCUUCUUCCUCCCCUUUGCCGUGAGCAGCCAACCUCAACACCUCAUUCCUUUGUCCCCUUUUCCGUGAGGAACCAGGUUGAGUGUGUAAAUCUCAGACAUCGACGCACUGCAUCCUUCGCCGGGAGUGCAUCGCAGCCAUCAACACUAGAACUCAUAGUGUUUUCUUGCCGGCACUCAUAAGCUGCUACUUAUUGCGCUAGCCACAAGGAGGCAGCAGUAAAUUGUUUCCAGCUACAAGUUGACAGUAGUAGGACUUUGACGUGAGACAAGCAUCUCGACGUUGGAUUUGGACCGGAUUGGACUUUUCU